rnacentral:rRNA from 1 species
CUAAGCGAUCUAGAUUGUUAGUGGCGGACGGGUGAGUAACACGUUGGAACCUUACCCCGAAGUGAGGAAUAACUGCCCGAAAGGGUAGCUAAUACCUCAUAGUCUCCGAUUUAUUCGGAGUAAAGAUUUAUCGCUUCGGGAGGGGCCUGCGUCCGAUUAGCUAGUUGGUGAGGUAAAUGCUCACCAAGGUGACGAUCGGUAGCUGGUUUGAGAGGAUGACCAGUCACACUGGGACUGAGAUACGGCCCAGACUCCUACGGGAGGCAGCAGUAAGGAAUCUUCCACAAUGGGGGCAACCCUGAUGGAGCAAUACCGCGUGCAGGAUGAAGCGUUUCGGCGUGUAAACUGCUUUUAUCUGUGAUGAUUAUGACAGUAGCAGAAGAAUAAGGAUCGGCUAACUACGUG